UACGUAGGGUGCAAGCGUUAAUCGGAAUUACUGGGCGUAAAGCGUGCGCAGGCGGUUUUUGUAAGUCAGAUGUGAAAUCCCCCGGGCUUAACCUGGGGAACUGCGUUUUGAAACUACAAGGCUAGAGUGUGGCAGAGGGGGGGGUGGAAUUCCACGUGUAGCAGUGAAAAUGCGUAGAGAUGUGGAGGAACACCGAUGGCGAAGGCAGCCCCCCCUGGGGAUAAUAU
rnacentral:rRNA from 1 species